CCUACGGUGGGCAGCAGUGGGGAAUAUUGGGCAAUGGGCGCAAGCCUGACCCAGCAACGCCGCGUGAAGGAAGAAGGCUUUCGGGUUGUAAACCUCUUUUAAGGGGGAAGAGCAGAAGACGGUACCCCUUGAAUAAGCCACGGCUAACUACGUGCCAGCAGCCGCGGUCAUACGUAGGUGGCAAGCGUUGUCCGGAUUUACUGGGUGUAAAGGGCGUGUAGCCGGGGAGGCAAGUCAGAUGUGAAAUUCACGGGCUCAACCCGUGAACUGCAUUUGAAACUGUUUGCCUUGAGUGUCGGAGAGGUAAGCGGAAGUCCUUGUGUAGCGGUGAAAGGCGUAGAUAUAAGGAAGAACACCAGUGGCGAAGGCGGAUUACUGGACGAUAACUGACGGUGAGGCGCGAAAGCGUGGGGAGCGAACAGGAUUAGAUACCCCUGUAGUC
rnacentral:rRNA from 1 species